AAUUGAAUUUCAAAUGUUUUUUCAAAACAUUUUCAAAUUGAAUUUCAAAUGUUUUUUGAAAACAUGUUUGUGAUUGGUUAGUGACUCAAAAUGGUUAGCGCCCACUGAGAUGUUUGGCUCUAUCAUUUGCAUGGGAUAACGUAACAGAGAGUGCAUUAUACUAACUUAAUUCCGCGGAUAGGGCACAGAGAUAUAGAAAAUUAUGUUAUCCUGACACUAUUGCAUAUUUUAUUUAUUUUAUAACACAAGUUAUUAGUUUCCAUUUUUAAUUAGGUACCUAGUUAAUUAAAUUCCCAACUUAAUAUUUCAAUCAAAAAUUCAAAUUCCUUAGCGUCCACGCUUGGGCAAUACUAAACUAUUUGAGAACCUAUGGAAUAUGGGUGUAAAAAUAUAAAACUUAUGUACAACAAAUAUCACUAGUUUUUUUUAGUAGAUAGCUGUUGUUAAUAUUAGUUGUGCUUUAUUAACAUUGGAAUAAAUUAUGAUUGUAAAAUUGUUAGUGUACUAGAGUACUACAAAUAAAUCUAUUGUAAAAGGACGUUUUAUUCAUGUAAUUUGUGCCACUAAGAGGAAUCAGUCAUAUUGAGGAAUUUCUUAUAAGAUACUAUUAAGGUAGACUUUGCAGUACGCGACCGCGACGAUUGUUAGGCCCGGUAUCCACCAGAGCAGAGAUGGUCGGAACUGUGUUUAGCAGACCAGUCAGCUUACUGUUAGUAGACGCGAAAAAAUGAUCACGUAAUCUAACAAUAAUCUGAUUGAUCCGCUAAAACAUCUUCGCUCUGGUGGACACUGGGACUUAGGCGUCACUUGCUCAGAAUACAAAUGUACCUAUAGAAGAGCAUUUAAGGUAAGCGACUGCGACGCGACACUUUGCAUGCCAUCGCGCGACAGUUUGCAUUCAACCGCGCGACACUAAGGAUAAGCCCGUAUUGUAAAAAAUUUCGCAGAACUCUAUAACAUGGGAAUUGUAUGAAACCGUUCGUGUGUAUUUUCGUGGCUUCAUACAAUUUCCGUAUAGGUAUUUUAAAAUUUUGCGGGCUUACCCUAAGGUUGAAAUUUUGAUUUGACUUAAGUUUCAGUUAAAACGAGACAGAUUUAUGCCAGCGGCAUAACGCUGUCUCAUUUUAACGUCUUAAGUCUGAGCAAAGUCGAAAUGCGCUCUGUAGAUGCAAGUGGCCGUAUUCAUAAUCAUUACUUAAAGGUCUCACAGUACGCUCGAACGCAUAGUGUAGGUUCCACCAAUCAGAUCAUUGUAAAUUGACGUGAUACAGUCAUCUGAUUGGUGGAACGGACACUGUGCGUUCGAGCGCACUAUGAGACCUCAUAGUAACGUUUGUGAAUACGGGUGUUAGUGUCACGCGGUUGUCUGCAAAGUGCGGCGCAAAGUCCGUACCCUACCGUACCGUGAGAAAAUGUAGAUACAUUUUAUUUGAUAAUGGGAAGAUUAGUUCAAGUCUUUCGAUAUUUUAAUGGAGAUGGUUCCUUAUCAGAUCAUAUACAUAGUUAUGUUGCAUGAGUAUUUUUUUGAUUAGUGGGUUGAUUUUGUACUAAACUGGAAUGUCGAAUCGGUAUGGUUAGUCGAUUUUUUUUUCGUGUUACUUUCUGUGUGCUAGUAUAAUAAAUCAUUAUAUAUUUUUGUUCGUUAGGCGUUCAUAUUGUUUUGAUUUUAUAGAAAAGAAAAAAAUCCUCACCUCGUUAGUCUUUUUUAAAAGCUACUUUCUAUUUAAUUUUUGUUUCAUUAUUUUUUUAAAGCUAUCGCAGAUUAAGUCUUAUUUUAUGUUGAUUUUUUUCACAAAAAAAGUAAAAUACUUAACACAAUCUUCAAGCGACAGGUAUAUAUCAAUUGAUUUUUAAUCCUAAUUUAAUUUAUCAUAAAUUAUAAAUGCACAACAAACGAUUUUUAUACCCAUCGUGGCGAAAAAAGUGGAAAAAAUCCCUAAAAAUUAGAGAAUAUUUGAAUUUUCUACCAAUAUAAACUAAAUCAUACAAUGUACAAAACAUCUUUGGUAACCCAAAAUAUUUUCAGUAUAAGUAAUAUAAUAUAAUAUAAAUUUGACACCAAAAGAUUUUUUAUGGAUGUUGAUUUAAAAAAUAAGUUAGAUAUAUACAUUUUUUUAUAAAACUAAAGAGUUGUGAUGUGCACAUUGUAGUGAAUCUUAAUUAUAUAAAAUUAAGAAAUAAUUAUCUAUAAUAUAUUGCAUAAAUCUAAUUAAUUAAAUACGAAAGUAUAAAAAAUUUAUGUUAAAUGUUCAUUAGGAAUAAAACUUGCAGCUAUAAAUGUAUAUUAAAAAUGUCAUUUUCACGCCAAUAUGAUUUUCUGAACGUUUUUAGUGUACAGAUUUACAAAAGUUGAUGUGUGCAAGUUUGCUCAGUGACUUGUCAGAGCUAACCUCCCAGACCAGGGCGCGUUUGGAACCCUGGUAGUUAUAAAAAGUUUACGUACUUGAUCAACAUCAAUUAUCUAACAAAUUCAACAAUUAGACAAUCAAAAAGUGUACCCAAUUUGAAUUAAGGCUUUGACUUUGACUAACUUCUGCAAGUUUUAUUGCUAGUAGACAAUUAGCUUUUGAAUAAAAUUAAUGAAUAAUAUUUUGCCCUUGUAAUUUUUAACUGACAAGGCUGACUCUUACAGACACGAUGAGAGUACGUAACAAUGCGUUGGCUUUGAUCAAAUCCGCACUACUGCAAGUAAUAUUUAGAUAUUAUACUCUAUCUGCGGCAUGAAGUUAGUAUAGCUCUCUCUCUCUGUUACGUAAUCCCAUACAAAUGAUAGAGCCGAAAAUCUCAGUGAGCGUUAACCAUUUUUUAUAACCAUAAUUUUUA